rnacentral:misc_RNA from 1 species
GAUGAAGAACGUAGCGAAAUGCGAUAAGUAAUGUGAAUUGCAGAAUUCAGUGAAUCAUCGAAUCUUUGAACGCACAUUGCGCCCGUCAGUAUUCUGGCGGGCAUGUCUGUUCGAGCGUCAUUACGCCCCUCAAGUCCCCUGUGGACUUGGUGUUGGGGAUCGGCGAGGCUGGUUUUCCAGCACAGCCGUCCCUUAAAUUAAUUGGCGGUCUCGCCGUGGCCCUCCUCUGCGCAGUAGUAAAACACUCGCAACAGGAGCCCGGCGCGGUCCACUGCCGUAAAACCCCCCAACUUUUUAUAGUUGACCUCGAAUCAGGUAGGACUACCCGCUGAACUUAAGCAUAUCAAUAAGCGGAGGA